rnacentral:misc_RNA from 1 species
UGGCUUAGAAUAUGAUGAUAGGAGAAUUUGAAAGAAUUCGCUUGUUCCAAAUUAUGGAUUAAACUUUAAACAAAAUAGACUCGAAUUGGUGAGAUAAUUAGAGAUGCAUAUGAAGUCUUGAACCUCAAAUUUCACCUAUCAACAACUUAUCUAGUUCACCAGUUCUCUGCCAAAAAUUUCUUUCAUACCGCUUGCCGCUUCUCCAUGUUGCCGAAUACCCAAGUUCUUAAGAUGUUGGACCCUAGCGAGCUACCACAUGCAGCAUCCAACCUCAAUUUCCAGAAUCCUAAUAACAGAGGCAAUUGUAGCCUAUAAAUAUAAGUAGUACUAUAUACUGGAUCUCUGAACUAUGAAUACAACAUUCGCAAUCCAUUCCAAGCAUUUUUCUGCCCAUAUAGGUGCCAGGCUAAGCUGCAGUAUUCUGAGAAGCCAGAUUUUCAAGACAAACAUUGUUAAGCCUCUCCAGAGCCAAAAUAAGUGCUUGGGUGCCCAAAUUCCCUUCCCCGUGAGCCUUAAGCGACAAAUAAAGUUGUUGAGCCAAUGCCAAUCCUGGCAAAGCAAGACCCAUGUUUUGACACUCCUUCAAACAAAUUCCCAAGUCCUUUACAAAAUGGUUCACAUAGAACCCUGCCUCGAAAUCCCUCUUCAGUAUUCUAGCCCCGUAUAAAUCAAGGGACUUUGACCCAGCAGCGCCUGCAGAUAUGGCGUUUAAGUACAGUUCCACAUUGAGUCCAGCUUUAUAUGCGUAAACGAUCCCCUCCACUAAGCCAACCAUUGUAGAAGCUAUGGUUAUUUGGUUUGCUAGCUUCGCAAAUUGGCCUUUGCCAGGGGCACCCAUAUAAUUAACCUUUCCCAUGAGGGCAAACAGGGGAUUCAGCCGAUGGAUGACUCCUUCAUCCCCUCCGGCGAAUAUUGCCAGGGUUCCGUUCUUGGCACCGCGGUCGCCGCCGGAGACGGGGGCGUCAAUGGAGUGGCAAUUUUUGGCAGACGCAGCGGCGGAGAUCUCGGAGGCCAGGGAAGGAUCAGAUGUAGUCAUGUCAACGAGGACUCCACCAGGGCGAAGGCCUUGGAGGGCCCCAGUGGUGGGGUCGAGGAGGACGUGACGGACGUCAGAGGGAAACCCGACGAUGGAGAAGACGACGUCGGAAUUGGAGGCGACGGCGAGAGGGGAUUGAGCGAGAUGGGCCCCCAUGUCGACAAGAGGCUGGGCCUUAGAGAGGGUCCGAUUGAAGACGGUGAGGGUGUAGCCGGCUUUGAUUAGGUGGGCACACAUGGAGCGGCCCAUAACGCCGGUGCCGAUCCAGCCAACGCGGGUGUUUGAUGGAGUGACGGAGUCGGAGGUGUUGGCCAUUGAGCGGUGCAAGCGCAGUGGUGAAGGAAGAGAGAGGUGGGUGCUAUAGGUGGGUAAGUGGUGAAAGAGCGUGCGAGUGCGACGGAGGAGUGACUGUGACAUCCCUUUGAAUUAUAUCCAUCGCUAGCGUGUUCUAUUAUCGGUUAUGUUUGUUCUGUGUAUAGUAACAAUAAUUUCAACUCAUU